rnacentral:lncRNA from 1 species
AUGUGGAUAUAUUCAAACUUUCAAAAAGGACAGUGUUUAGAAAGGGUAAAACUAGGACACAGAAAACAUUGGGAAUUACCACGACCCCCAAGUGCUUCCGGCUCCAGGAAAUAACCAUUCAUGUGUUUGCUGGAGGUCACGCAAUUUUCCCCUAUUACCUGGUGCAAAAUGACUCAUCACUUCCCAAAAGCUUCUUUUCAAACCACGAUUUUCCCAUUUAUUUUGGUCCAAUGCAGUCCCAUUCUUUAUGGCCUAUAGUCUCACUCCCAACUACCCCCCUGGGGGGU